rnacentral:rRNA from 1 species
UACGUAGGGUGCAAGCGUUAAUCGGAAUUACUGGGCGUAAAGCGUGCGCAGGCGGUUCUAUAAGACAGAUGUGAAAUCCCCGGGCUCAACCUGGGAACUGCAUUUGUGACUGUAGAGCUGGAGUGCGGCAGAGGGGGAUGGAAUUCCGCGUGUAGCAGUGAAAUGCGUAGAUAUGCGGAGGAACACCGAUGGCGAAGGCAAUCCCCUGGGCCUGCACUGACGCUCAUGCACGAAAGGCGUGGGGGAGCAAACAGG